rnacentral:misc_RNA from 1 species
ACAUCCCGUGCGGCGGAAUAUUU